AAGUCGUAACAAGGUUUCCGUAGGUGAACCUGCGGAAGGAUCAUUAACACGUAUCCAAACGUAAAAAACCCCCCCCGUGAACAUUCAAUCCUGCUCUUGUAACCCGCGUAGUUCGCAAUCUCUGGUAAAUCAUAGCCCGGAAAGUAGUUUGAUGCAGAGACCUCUGGCUACGUGAGAACAUUGGAACAGUUACAAUUGAGCGGUAGUUUCAUAGGCAUUGUUUCCCCAAGCAGUCAGUGUCUGAAAGUGUCACUGAUUGUGCAAGGAUAGCGCUUCAACGAUUCCUGUAGACCGUACACUCGGGCAGGAGCUAUGCCAAAGGGUCCCCAUGCCCCCUUAUAACCCCACAGUUUAUUGGGUACAAAAACCGAACAACUGUUAACAAUGGAUAUCUUGGUUCUC
rnacentral:misc_RNA from 1 species